rnacentral:rRNA from 1 species
CCGGUCUUACCACCGGGAUGUUCAUAACCCUUUGUUGUCCGACUCUGUUGCCUCCGGGGCGACCCUGCCUUCGGGCGGGGGCUCCGGGUGGACACUUCAAACUCUUGCGUAACUUUGCAGUCUGAGUAAACUUAAUUAAUAAAUUAAAACUUUUAACAACGGAUCUCUUGGUUCUGGCAUCGAUGAAGAACGCAGCGAAAUGCGAUAAGUAAUGUGAAUUGCAGAAUUCAGUGAAUCAUCGAAUCUUUGAACGCACAUUGCGCCCCCUGGUAUUCCGGGGGGCAUGCCUGUUCGAGCGUCAUUUCACCACUCAAGCCUCGCUUGGUAUUGGGCAACGCGGUCCGCCGCGUGCCUCAAAUCGACCGGCUGGGUCUUCUGUCCCCUAAGCGUUGUGGAAACUAUUCGCUAAAGGGUGUUCGGGAGGCUACGCCGUAAAACAACCCCAUUUCUAAGGUUGACCUCGGAUCAGGUAGGGAUACCCGCUGAACUUAAGCAUAUCAAUAAGCGGAGGAA